rnacentral:rRNA from 1 species
CAGUAGCCGCGGUAAUACAGAGGAUGCAAGCGUUGUCCGGAAUUAUUGGGCGUAAAGGGCUCGCAGGCGGUUUCUUAAGUCUGAUGUGAAAGCCCCCGGCUCAACCGGGGAGGGUCAUUGGAAACUGGGAAACUUGAGUGCAGAAGAGGAGAGUGGAAUUCCACGUGUAGCGGUGAAAUGCGUAGAGAUGUGGAGGAACACCAGUGGCGAAGGCGACUCUCUGGUCUGUAACUGACGCUGAGGAGCGAAAGCGUGGGGAGCGAACAGGAUUAGAUACCCCUGUAGUCCCUGUCUCUUAUAA